rnacentral:rRNA from 1 species
GACGAACGCUGGCGGCGUGCUUAACACAUGCAAAUCGAACGAUGAAGCCCAGCUUGCUGGGUGGAUUAGUGGCGAACGGGUGAGUAACACGUGGGCAACCUGCCCCAAACUCUGGGAUAACUCCUCGAAAGAGGUGCUAAUACCGGAUACGAACUAGACAGACAUCUGUACUAGUUGGAAAGUUUUUCGGUUUGGGAUGGGCCCGCGGCCUAUCAGCUUGUUGGUGAGGUAACGGCUCACCAAGGGUACGACGGGUAACCGGCCUGAGAGGGGGACCGGUCACACUGGGACUGAGACACGGCCCAGACUCCUACGGGAGGCAGCAGUGGGGAAUAUUGCGCAAUGGGCGAAAGCCUGACGCAGCGACGCCGCGUGAGGGAUGAAGGUCUUCGGAUCGUAAACCUCUUUCAGUAGGGACGAAGCGAAAGUGACGGUACCUAAAGAAGAAGCACCGGCUAACUACGUGCCAGCAGCCGCCGCCG